rnacentral:lncRNA from 1 species
AGCACUCUUUUCUACAAGUUAUAGCCGAGCAUGAUUCUAUUUUACAGCGAUAUAGCGACACUGCAGAGAUAGGAUAGAACAUUGCAAAAACAAGAACUUCUUUGAUUGUCUAUUUAGCCAAUAGAAUGAUUCUGUAGGUUGAUUCUAGAGGGCAAUAUAAAUGAAUUACUGAUGAGUAGAAAACAGAUGUACAGAAGGCAU